rnacentral:tRNA from 1 species
UGGCUGAGCGGUAAAGCGCUUGACUUCCGAACUAGGAGUCCCGGGUUCGAGUCCUGG